UGCCAUUAUACACACCGAGGUCAAAUCCUCUCACAGUGCAAGGUCAUCUAUGGUACCCCCAAAGCCAAAGAGGUCAGGUCAUGCAAUACAGGAAAACAGAGCUUUAGCCCUAAGAAGAACCUGCCCAUGACUCUUGAAACCACAAUGAAGACAGAACACCCAAAAAGCGGGAGACAUGAGACAUCAAUCAACAUAUGCAAGAUGAACAUUGGUUUGGUCUGGAAAGGUGGAACAACUGAAAGCAAAAGCAGGACAACUGGAAGCGGGGAAGGCUUCCAGGUCAUAGGCAGGAAACAGAUAUUAAUUCCGAGACAAGCAGCCAGGGAAAUGCUGCAACAUUGUGACCAGGUGCUACAGCGAAUCCACAGGAAAGCCAGAUGCUCCUCAGAGCUACAGGCCACGAGUCACCACCACCCUCGCCCCAUCCCACCAGCCCUGGUGGCCGCCAUGCCCUCCGACGCCAAGUUCUCCACCUUCCCAUAACACCUCCCUGUUGGUGCCAACUGAGCCUGGAUUCCGGGAUUGGCCCCAGCCCAAGGCAGCCUCCCUGCCCCAGCCAGUGCCUGGUUCGGGUGGGUGCAGACCACAUAGCCACAGAGGCAGAAAUGAGGGUGGGCUGACAGGCUUGGAGGAGGGACCGAGCAGACAUGGACUCCCUGGUAUCAGAGACCCUGGGCUGGGCAGCUGCCGGUGAGAGGCCCAGAGACCCCCGGCCUCCCUUCCCCCAUUUACCUCCAUCUGCAACCCAGGGGCCUGGUGCCUCCACCCCUGCCUGGGCAUCACCCUCCCGGCUGCUCUGUAGACCUCCAGAGCCCGAGUCUGCGGGAGGCGCCAGCAGAGCAGCUCCCGGUGCUAACGGCAGGUGGGAGGGACACCGGGGCCUUGCUGGCAUGGCUGGGCAGCUCUCCACCCGGCACGCCCUGCGCCCUCUGCAUUCCGUCGUCAAGAGACAUCCAUGUGGGCGCACACUCCACCACUAAGCAGGCCUCCCUGCUGCUUCUUCCACCCGCCCUGCCCAGGGCACCACAGGCUCAGCCUAGGAACAAAGAUGGCGCCUCAUGGGUCUUUACCCCGGAAUCACCUUGGCCGAGCCACGCGUUACAGACGGUGGGGCCGGUGGACAGCAACUUGCCAGGGACACACGCCUGAGGGUCACAGCCUGAGAGUCACAGCCAGGCACCUCUCUACACAUGCCUGACGGUCACGGCCAGGUGCCUCCCUCCCAGGUCGAAGUCCCAGCUCUCCAGAUCCCAAGUGACUUAUGGGGCCUGAGCAAGAAGUGUGGGCCUGGGCAGGGGGUCCUCAGCCACCAGCCACCUUCACCCUCUGCUGGGGCAGACAAGGACAGUGCAGUGUGGUGUGGAGCGGUGGCCCCAGUCCCAGGCUGGGAAAGGGACAGAGGCCCGGCAGCCAGAGGGAGGAGGCUGCCUGUUGCCAGUGGCGCCCUGCUGGGAGCCCCAGGGAGUCAGGGUGUCUGCCCGGCCCCAGCUCCCCGCUAAGAAUCAGCCGCUCUGGCAGGCUGCCUGGUCCACGGUGACUCAGGAACACCAAUCAAAUGCACAUGUUGUUUGUCAGAGGAGAUGCCCACACCCCCAUGGCAGAGCCCUAACCCCUGGGGUUGGGGGGGGCUGGCCGGAGGCCCCUCAGCUGCUUUGUGUAAGGGACAGCUCUACAUGCCCAGGAACCCGCCUCCAUCAGCAUCGCGAGGCCCACGUGCUCCAGCGUGCGACCUGGUGCCAUCAGGAGGGCUACGCCCACCAGACCCAAGGCCAGCGGGGCACAGUCGGGGCACCACCAGGGAGCCGCCGGGAAGCAGCCGGGAGCAGCCAGCAGGGCGCAUGCGUGUUACCCUCUUCAGCCAACACUGCAGGCGGAUGGGCAGGCAAGCCUAGGGCCACCUCGAGGUAGGGGCAGGGGUGGCCUCAGAACAGAACAGACAAAGGAUGGAGUCAGCUUCUGGGUCUCAGAUCCCAGGUCCGGGGCUGCAGGAAGGAAAUCUCCUGCUCCAGGACAGGCAGUGGUCAACUGUGGGCUGGGGGCUGGCAGGAGGGGGGCCCCUACAGAACUCCUCAUGGCCAGUCCUUCACCAGUCCAGGGCCACCCGCCUUUCCCUCGUCCACAGAGGGCCAAGGUCGCAGCUCCCAGCCCUGUGCUUUGAAGUGGGCCCCGCUCCAGUCUGCUUUCCGGAGUAAGGGCAAACCCUCACCACUAGGAAGAACGGGUUUCACCCCUUCCACCGGUGACGCUGAACAUCCCUGGCCACUGUGCACCCCGUUCCCUCCCUCCCCAGGGCCCCAGGGCCGUGAACCCGGAAGGUGGCUCCAGGUGCCACACGCUUUGCCAGAAACAAAGGGAGCAUCACCUCGCUUCCUGGCCUCUGUUUGCAUAGCCGCUGGCACAGGGGCUGUGGGGAGGGGGUGAAGCAGGAGCCAGGAGGCUGUCUGAGGACCUGCCCACAGCCCAACAGGACUCCAGCCCUGUCAGGCCGCACCAGGGCACAGCCAGGAGGUGCCUCCAUGCCCAUCCGCCAGGCCAGGCACUGUUCUAGAAAUUUCACAGCAACUCUUGAUCUCCCAGAAGGGCAGGCGGGGAGACAGGGCCCAUGCUCCCUCAAGAGUUUCCCCCUCCGGGGGUAGGUACAGGAGAGCAGAAUCCUUGAAUGUGGGGCUGCCAGGACCAUGACUCCCACCCACCCUCAUGGCCUCCUGGGUCCUGCUCUGGUCUGUCCUCCCCACACCCCUGAGGUCCAAGGGGCAGUGUCGGGGAGCAUUGCCAAGGGCUUGCGCCCGCCCUGGGUCUGACCACUACCAAAGUGAGGGGGGGCCUGUCCUGGGGCCUCAGCCUGGGGGCAGACGGCUGCCCCAGCUCCUUGCAUGUAGGUCCAAGGAAAAGUGAGCGGGAGGGCUCAGGUCUGGGAUGUUCCACCAGGAGGAACCCGGCCCAGGGCCUAGGUGUCAGGAGGGCUCUCCUAAGACAGCCCUGGGCCUUCCGGCCCCUCCACCUGCCCUCAACCCUCAACUCAGGCUCCUGGUCCACCUCAAGGACCCCCAGCCCUCCCCGCCCUGGGCAGUGCCACAUUCUAGCAGCUAUUUGCUCUAGGCCUCCCUGACCAGCUCCUUUUUAUUUUUCCCAAGAGAUGGUGUCGCUCUGUCACCCAGGCUGGAGUGCAGUGGUGCAAUCACCUGGGGUUCCCUGUAGCCUCGACCUCCUGAGCUCAGGCUUAUCCCUCCUCCCCUGUAAGAGCUUUCUGUAGCUGGAACUCUAGGUGCGUGCCACCACACCUGGCUAUUUUUAAUUUUUUGUGGAGACAGUCUCACCAUGUGUGCCCAAGCUGUUCUCAAACUCCUGGGCUCAAGCAGUCCUCCCACCUCGGCCUCUCAAAGUGCUGGGAUUGCAGGCAUAAGCCACUGCUCCCGGCCCUGGACCAGCUCCUUGAGGCAUUAUUUUUCAUUCCUCUGCGUCGCUUGGGUGGGUGUGGGGGUGGACACACCUACCACAGGGGCAGCCUCAGGGUCCCAGACAGUCAGCGGCACCCCAAGGGACCCAGGCUGAGGGUAGGGGCCUUGGCAGGUCACAGGCGCUCAGAGGCAGCAGAACAAGGACUAAACCCUGAUGAAUCAGGAAAGCAGCCAGGGCAAAGCCGCACAGCGAGGGGUCCAACGCGCCGGGCCAGGUGGGCAGAGCCCCGGUCACUAGUCAGUGACGUGCCUGCCAUCUGGGUCCAGGUACGCUGCCCUGCACACCUGUCACCUCUGCCUCCAUGUGGGUGAAAGAGUACCUAGGUACUGAAGCAAGAGACUGAAGGCACAAACUGUUUUAGUAUAAUAAAGAAAUUAGCUAGAAUAAGAAUAGUCAUAAUACAAAUUAGAUAUAGAGAUGAUCAUGGACAAUUAUCAAUCAUUAUUAUAAACAUUAUUAAUCAUUAGCUUUUAAUAUUACUUUGUUGCAUAUCAUGCUCCUCCCGUACUCCUGCUUCCUCUUUGAAGUUUGUAGUAGAUAGCAGUAAAAGAAAUAGUGAAAGUCUUAAAGUCUUUAAUCUUUCUUAUAAGUGCAGAGAAGAAAACGCUGACGUAUGCUGCCUUCUCUCUCUGCUUCAGCUGCCUAAAAGGGAGGGGCCCCCAUCCUGUAAUCACAUGACUGACUUCACCUUGUCAAUCACUUAGAAGAUUCACCCUCCUGACCCUGCCCCCUUGUCUUGGAUGCAGUAAAUAUCAGCGAGCCCAGCCGUUCGGGGCCACUACCGGUCUCCGCGUCUUGAAGGUAGUGGUCCCCAGGGCCCAGCUGCUUUCUCUUUCUCUCUUUAUCUUGUGUCUUUAUUUAUUACAAUCUCUCAUCUCCACACACAGGGAAAACACCUGCUAAGCCCUGUAGGGCUGGACCCUACACCUCCACACAGCCAGGGUCCUGAUGGACGUCUUCAGGGACCUGCGGGGUCACAGGAGCCCCAAAUCCCAAACC